GAGCUCAGUUAGUAGAGCAUUAGACUCUUAAUCUCACAGUUGUGGGUUUGAGCCCUACGUUGGGCA